GUACACGCUGUGACUAGCAUAUCAAUAAGCGGAGGAAAAGAAACUAACAAGGAUUCCCUCAGUAACGGCGAGUGAAGCGGGAAGAGCUCAAAUUUGAAAUCUUGAAAGGUCACCUUUCACGAAUUGUAGUUUAAAGAAGUGUUUUCUGUUACGAUCGUAAUAUAAGUUCUUUGGAAUAGGACAUCACAGAGGGUGAGAAUCCCGUCUAUGAUUGCGAUUUGUAGCUUUGUGAUACACUUUCAAAGAGUCGGGUUGUUUGGGGAUGCAGCCCAAAACGGGCGGUAAAUUUCUUCUAAGGCUAAAUAUUGGCGAGAGACCGAUAGCGAACAAGUACCGUGAGGGAAAGAUGGAAAGAACUUUGAAAAGAGAGUUAAACUAGUACGUGAAAUUGUCAAAAGGGAAGCGUUUAACACCAGUGUUGUUCUCUGAAAAUCAACCUCUGUUAGCUUUAUGCAUGUUUGUUUAGACCUAAUCAGCUAUCUUGCAUGUUCUAUUGUUUGCAGUGGUGCACUUUUCAGUUUACAGGUCAACAUCAGUUUUUUUUUACCGUAAAAAAGUUAAAGAAAGGUAGCUCAUGGCUCCGGUCGUGAGUGUUAUAGUCUUUUUCCUAUGCGGUAGGAGAGACUGAGGUCUGCAGUGUAGGCUAUUUGGCUAGAUACUCAGGUGCUAUGUGAUACCAUUUCAUAGAACAACUUGUUGAUUAUGUUUUGUCUAUUGCAUACUCGCUUGUACUAUCAUACCUACGCUUAGGAUGUUGAACUACUGAGACAUAGA
rnacentral:rRNA from 1 species